rnacentral:rRNA from 1 species
GACGAACGCUGGCGGCGUGCCUAAUACAUGCAAGUAGAACGGAUUGCGAACGGGUGAGUAACGCGUGGUAACCUGCCUCAUAGCGGGGGAUAACUCUUGGAAACGAUAGCUAAUACCGCAUACUUUUGGAUGGACCUGCGUUGUAUUAGCUAGUUGGUGGGGUAAAGGCUAACAAAGGGGACGAUACAUAGCCGACCUGCGAGGGUGACCAGCCACGCUGGAACGGAUACACGGUCCAGACUCCUACGGGAGGCAGCAGUGGGUAAUAUUGCACAAUGGGCGCAAGCCUGAUGCAGCCAUGCCGCGUGUAUGAAGAAGGCCUUCGGGUUGUAAAGUACUUGCAGCGAGGAGGCGUUACUCGCAGAAGAAGCACCGGCUAACUCCGUGCCAGCAGCCGCGGUAAUAC